GAAAGUAGUCGUGUAUCGUUCUAUUCGUUGUUAGUAUAUUUACAAACGGGGUUAGGUUUGAUGUCGUGGUUGAUGUUGGGAUCGCGUGCCAGCACUGUCGUACCAGUCUGCACCUAUCCCGUCGUUAAAGCAUACUUCGCCAUGUCAUUAACGUAAUCACUCUCCGUCACUUUGAGAACUCAACAGAAUACUCGAUAUUUUAAGUAGUCAAAACUUUUCGUUUCACUUCCGACGUGAUUGCUCGUGAAUUUCCACUCGUGUUCGUGUUAAAGAAGAUACGAUAAAUCGUUUCCCGGUCUCAGGCACAAAUGCAUCAUGCAGUUGGAGACGCCUAGUGAUGGGAUCUGAAACAUUUCAAAUUACAUAUAUAUGUACUUCGAAACUGUAUAUGUACAUAAUUAUGUCUGUAUACAUAUGGUGAAAAAUUUGAAUCACUUUGAAAAUUAUACGAAGCUUAAAAGUCUUAAAAGUCCUAAAAGCUUUGAUAGGUUUGAAAUAAAAUAAAAUAGAACAGCGCAAAAUUUGUAAAAAAAUGAGCACUGUUCAUGCAUAUUACUUAUUGUAUAACGCAAUCGUAUUUAAAGUUAAUAUGGUAUUGUAUAUAAUGUAAUAUAUUAUAUACAGCUUAGAGUAACUGUAUAAAAGUAAUUAUAUUUAAAGUUAAAUAAGUUAAUAUGUGAAUGAUAGUAAUGCUUUUAUUCUUUAUUUAGUAACAAUAUGCAACUGAUGUGAAAUUAGGAUUUACAUUACUAGACACGCCUAUGAAUGUUUGAAAAAUGCGCCAAACCGAAGAGACGCAAUAUAACAUUGUACAUUCAGUAGGACGUUCUUCAGAGGUCGUGAAACAGGAGAGUGAUUAGUUGAAACACGAAUUUCUACAAAAACAUAUGUGUUUUCGAAUGUAAACACGACGCCACUGAAACGCAGCUGCUGAAUAGAUUCCUGUCGUCCGAAUUUAGGUUAACAUAUGCCAAACGUGACUUCCUCAAAGAAUUUGGAACCCACGCAGCGGGUUAGCCUAAAGCGUUCGCAGACUGCAAUGGAAGAUGUAAAGCGUGUACGGUUGAAAGUACGAUGGGAUUUCCGCUUUCUAGAAAAUGCAGACGGAGUUCCACAAUGAUGGGUCGUUUCAUGUUCACCGCUCAUUGUUUUCGUCGUACCACGAGGGACUGCUUUUAUGUCAAUACUUCAAAGUGCUAUAACCUACGUGGGGGUAUCAUACGAGGCAAAAGUUACAUGAACCAGAGUCGCACCAUCUUCAUUAUCAUCUUCAGGUGUCUCCGUAUGGUAACGUACAAUUUACGUAUGCCAAAGGGCAUCUUUGUAUUUAAGACUUCUUUAUGAGCAUGCACGAGUCAGUUUCCUUGUUAUAUGCACAGAUACACAGUCUGGUCUUUGCAUUUCUUAUUACAUAUAUUUAAUGAAUUAAAUAUAGUAAGGUAAAUUUGAAAGACAAAUGAAUAAUUUACAUGCAAAAAAUAGAUUUUAUUAAAAAUUCAUUCAAACUGUUUAUUUCUAACCUGUACAAUGUUCUCCCAAUUUUUAAAUAUAUUUCAGGCUAUGUAAUAAAUGAAAGAUAACAAAAAUGUUCUGAAAUUUAAUAGAAAGGAACUUGCAUUUCAUUUUUUAUCUGGUCUGUGUAUCUCUGCUUUUCAUUACAAUGUACAAUAGCGAGAAAAGCGGAACUUUGUGAUGUAUACGCGUACCGAACUAAGCAUUGGUGGAGAAGAGCACUGUCGAUUGCAUCCGCCGACAGGAACACUAAUCACGGGACUCGCUGUCUUUUAAGAUUAUUAAAAUCGUCAAAGCUUCAACGUCCUCAAAGGGUUAAUUACCCUACGGGAUAUUUAUGGCUGGGUUGCUCUCUUCCCUCGCUCGCCAGGGAGCAGAGGCUAUUAAAGAAGGAGCACGCGGACAGAGAAGAGGUAGACUGCGAACUGCCGCGGAAAAGAGCCUUUCUCUUCGUGUGUCAUUGUCAGGGCUUGUAGAUAGAUUGCUCAGACGGUAAUUGAUUUCCUGUGCCGUGUCGAAUAAUUGAACGGUCGAUGUUAUACAGUUUUACUUAAAAGAAAAUAAUAUUUGAUUUAUGUCUCUCAUUCGCGUUCAACGAAUUCUUCAAAACGUUCCAAUAUAAUUUGGAAUUUACAAGCACUAGACUGUCUUUUGUAUUUUCCAAGUUGAAAAUCGCUUCCUAGAUUCUAGUUAAAAUAUACAUGAUCUUUCAAAAUAAUUAAAUUUCACAUGACAAACAAAAAGAUUCGCAUUUGAAGUUCAUUGAUGAAGUAGCGUUUAAUAGUAGGUGAUGACACACGUAAUUUCAAUCAUAUUUCAUUGAAAUAAUAUCUUUAACAAACAAAAAAAAAGAA